rnacentral:rRNA from 1 species
GUGGGGAAUCUUCCGCAAUGGACGAAAGUCUGACGGAGCGACGCCGCGUGAGUGAAGAAGGCCUUCGGGUCGUAAAGCUCUGUCAUCAGGGACGAACGGCCGGUGGAGUGGAAAGCCACCGGAUUGACGGUACCUGAGAAGGAAGCCACGGCUAACUACGUGCCAGCAGCCGCGGUAAUACGUAGGUGGCAAGCGUUGUCCGGAAUUAUUGGGCGUAAAGCGCGCGCAGGUGGGAUCUUAAGUCCAUUUUGAAAGUUCGGAGCUCAACUCCGUGAUGGGAUGGAAACUGGGAUUCUUGAGUACCGGAGAGGAAAGCGGAAUUCCCCGUGUAGCGGUGAAAUGCGUAGAUAUGGGGAGGAACACCAGUGGCGAAGGCGACUUUCUGGACGAUGUCUGACGCUGAGGCGCGAAAGCUAGGGGAGCGAACGGGAUUAGAAACCCCGGUAGUCC